rnacentral:rRNA from 1 species
CCCUUAGAUGUUCUGGGCCGCACGCGCGCUACACUGACGCAUUCAACGAGUCUAAAACCUGCUCUGAUAGGGGUGGGUAAUUUUUUGAAUGUGCAUCGUGAUUGGGAUAGAUGAUUGCAAUUUUUCAUCUUCAACGAGGAAUGCCUAGUAAACGCAAGUCAUCAGCUUGCAUUGAUUACGUCCCUGCCCUUUGUACACACCGCCCGUCGCUCCUACCGAUUGAAUGAUCCGAUGAAUAUCAUGGAUUGAGGAUGCAAGUAGGUUAGCCUAUCUUCAUCUUCGAGAAGUGAAGUAAAUCUUAUCAUUUAGAGGAAGGAGAAGUCGUAACA